rnacentral:rRNA from 1 species
CCUACGGGAGGCUGCAGUGAGGAAUAUUGGUCAAUGGGCGCAAGCCUGAACCAGCCAAGUAGCGUGAAGGAUGACUGCCCUACGGGUUGUAAACUUCUUUUAUAAAGGAAUAAAGUGAGGCUCGUGUGCCUUUUUGUAUGUAUUCUAUGAAUAAGGAGCGGCUAACUCCGUGUCAGCAGCCGCGGUAAUACGGAGGAUCCGAGCGUUAUCCGGAUUUAUUGGGUUUAAAGGGAGCGUAGAUGGGUUUUUAAGUCAGCUGUGAAAGUUUGCGGCUCAACCGUAAAAUUGCAAUUGAUACUGGCAGUCUGGAGUACAGUUGGGGUAGGCGGAAUUCGUGGUGUAGCGGUGAAAUGCUUAGAUAUCACGAAGAACUCCGAUUGCGAAGGCAGGUUACUAGACUGCAACUGACGUUGAGGCUCGAAAGUGUGGGUAUCAAACAGGAUUAGAUACCCCUGUAGUC